GACGAACGCUGGCGGCGUGCUUAACACAUGCAAGUCGAACGGAAAGGCCCUGCUUUUGUGGGGUGCUCGAGUGGCGAACGGGUGAGUAACACGUGAGUAACCUGCCCUUGACUUUGGGAUAACUUCAGGAAACUGGGGCUAAUACCGGAUAGGAGCUCCUGCUGCAUGGUGGGGGUUGGAAAGUUUCGGCGGUUGGGGAUGGACUCGCGGCUUAUCAGCUUGUUGGUGGGGUAGUGGCUUACCAAGGCUUUGACGGGUAGCCGGCCUGAGAGGGUGACCGGGCCAAUUGGGACUGAGGUACGGCCCCGACUCCCACGGGGGGGAAGAGGGGGGAAUAUUGACCAAAGGGGGGGAGCCCGAUGCAGCAAACCCGCGUGGGGGAUGAAGGCCUUUGGGGUGGAAACCCCCUUUGCCUGGUAACAAGCGGGAGGGACGGGAAAGGGUAAAGAAACCCCGGGCAAACUCGUG
rnacentral:rRNA from 1 species